rnacentral:rRNA from 1 species
AGUGUGAGAAACACUCUCGCCGAAAGUCCAAGGGUUCCUCGGCAAGGCUAAUCCGCCGAGGGUGAGCCGGCCCCUAAGUCGAGGGCGAAAGCCGUAGACGAUGGGAAUGCAGUUAAUAGUCUGCAGCCAGCGGGAUGUGACGGAUGGUGUAAGUUGUUCGGCCUGAUCGGAUUGGCCGGGCAGCGAAACCGUUCCAGGAAAUAGCCCCGCCUAUGACCGUACCCGAAACCGACACAGGC